GGCGUGGUGGCACAAUUUGGUACUGCGCCCAGUUGAAGCCUUGGUGGGGUCACCCGAUCCCAUGCGGGUUCAAAUCCCGCCCACGCCG
rnacentral:tRNA from 1 species